rnacentral:rRNA from 2 species
UGGAUCCAGACUUUGAUCAUGGCUCAGGAUGAACGCUAGCUACAGGCUUAACACAUGCAAGUCGAGGGGCAGCGGGAUUGAAGCUUGCUUCAAUUGCCGGCGACCGGCGCACGGGUGAGUAACGCGUAUCCAACCUUCCGUACACUCAGGGAUAGCCUUUCGAAAGAAAGAUUAAUACCUGAUGGUAUGAUGAGAUUGCAUGAUAGCAUCAUUAAAGAUUUAUCGGUGUACGAUGGGGAUGCGUUCCAUUAGGUAGUAGGCGGGGUAACGGCCCACCUAGCCAACGAUGGAUAGGGGUUCUGAGAGGAAGGUCCCCCACAUUGGAACUGAGACACGGUCCAAACUCCUACGGGAGGCAGCGGUGAGGAAUAUUGGUCAAUGGACGAGAGUCUGAACCAGCCAAGUAGCGUGAAGGAUGAAGGUCCUACGGAUUGUAAACUUCUUUUAUAAGGGAAUAAACCCUCCCACGUGUGGGAGCUUGUAUGUACCUUAUGAAUAAGCAUCGGCUAACUCCGUGCCAGCAGCCGCGGUAAUACGGAGGAUGCGAGCGUUAUCCGGAUUUAUUGGGUUUAAAGGGAGCGCAGACGGGUCGUUAAGUCAGCUGUGAAAGUUUGGGGCUCAACCUUAAAAUUGCAGUUGAUACUGGCGUCCUUGAGUGCGGUUGAGGUGUGCGGAAUUCGUGGUGUAGCGGUGAAAUGCUUAGAUAUCACGAAGAACUCCGAUUGCGAAGGCAGCACACUAAUCCGUAACUGACGUUCAUGCUCGAAAGUGUGGGUAUCAAACAGGAUUAGAUACCCUGGUAGUCCACACGGUAAACGAUGGAUACUCGCUGUUGGCGAUAUACUGUCAGCGGCUUAGCGAAAGCGUUAAGUAUCCCACCUGGGGAGUACGCCGGCAACGGUGCAACUCAAAGGAAUUGACGGA